rnacentral:rRNA from 1 species
GUUGUGGUCUUUUCGGGAGGCAGCAGUGGGGAAUAUUGCACAAUGGGCGAAAGCCUGAUGCAGCGACGCCGCGUGAGGGAUGACGGCCUUCGGGUUGUAAACCUCUUUCAGCAGGGAAGAAGCGAAAGUGACGGUACCUGCAGAAGAAGCGCCGGCUAACUACGUGCCAGCAGCCGCGGUAAUACGUAGGGCGCAAGCGUUGUCCGGAAUUAUUGGGCGUAAAGAGCUUGUAGGUGGCUUGUCGCGUCUGCCGUGAAAACCCGAGGCUCAACCUCGGGCGUGCGGUGGGUACGGGCAGGCUAGAGUGUGGUAGGGGAGACUGGAACUCCUGGUGUAGCGGUGAAAUGCGCAGAUAUCAGGAAGAACACCGAUGGCGAAGGCAGGUCUCUGGGCCAUUACUGACACUGAGAAGCGAAAGCAUGGGGAGCGAACAGGAUUAGAUACCCUGGUAGUCCAUGCCGUAAACGUUGGGCACUAGAUGUGGGGAACAUUCCACGUUUUCCGCGUCGUAGCUAACGCAUUAAGUGCCCCGCCUGGGAACA